UGACCUCCCAAGUCUCAACAGAAACAUCCCUGACAUUGAGUACGAGCAGUUCAUUGCAGGCCUCUGAAUACUCAGUCCAGGAAAGCUAAACCAUUCUAGCCUUCAUCGGUUCUGGGAAAGCAAUCUUCAGAGUGGGAAAAAACAUUGAAAAAUAAUAUUCUGGUUCACUUGGUGAUAAUAAUAGUAAACAAAGCAACAGCAAACCCUUACAGUACUCUGUCCUGCUGUUGCAGGAACGCUGUGUUCACGACAAUUCAAUGAGUUGGCACCACUAUGACUUCCACUUUAAAGAUGGCCUUGCCUCCUGCUUCAGAGAGAAUGACAUGUUACUGGAAAGGAACUCG